rnacentral:rRNA from 1 species
GACGAACCGUGCGAACGUUGUUCGGAUUCACUGGGCUUAAAGGGCGCGUAGGCGGGUGAUCAAGUCCGGGGUGAAAUACUCCAGCUUAACUGGAGAAUAGCCCUGGAUACUGGUCGUCUUGAGGGAGGUAGGGGCAUGUGGAACUUCCGGUGGAGCGGUGAAAUGCGUAGAUAUCGGAAGGAACGCCGGUGGCGAAAGCGAUGUGCUGGACCUCUUCUGACGCUGAGGCGCGAAAGCCAGGGGAGCAAACGGG